rnacentral:rRNA from 1 species
GGGUCAGUAGGUUGGUCGUGCCACCGGUACGUACUGGUCUCAAUGAUUCCUCCUUCCUGAAGAACCGUAAUGCCAUUAAUUUGGUGUUGCGGGGAAACAGGACUGUUACUUUGAAAAAAUUAGAGUGUUUAAAGCAAGCUAACGCUUGAAUACAUUAGCAUGGAAUAAUGAAAUAGGACGAUCGAUCCUAUUUUGUUGGUUUCUAGGAUUGACGUAAUGAUUAAUAGGGAUAGUUGUU